rnacentral:rRNA from 1 species
UACGGAGGGUGCAAGCGUUGUCCGGAUUUAUUGGGCUUAAAGGGUGCGUAGGCGGCCCAGUAAGUCAGCGGUGAAAGCCUCCAGCUUAACUGGAGAACUGCCAUUGAUACUGUUAGGCUUGAGUAUACUUGAGGUAGGCGGAAUUGACAGUGUAGCGGUGAAAUGCAUAGAUAUUGUCAAGAACACCAAUUGCGAAGGCAGCUUACUAAAUUAUAACUGACGCUGAGGCACGAAAGUGUGGGUAUCAAACAGG